rnacentral:rRNA from 1 species
AUGCAUGUCUAAGUACAAGCCGUGCACACGGCGAGACUGCGGACGGCUCAUUAAAUCGGUUAUGAUUCCACUGGGGACAGACUCCACCGUGGAUAACGUGCGGUAACUCCGGUGCUAAUACAUGCAACAAGGCUCCGACCCCGUCCUCGCGGCGGGGGAAGGGCGCACUUAUUAGGCGAAAACCAAUCGGCCGCCUCGCGCGGCCGUUGGUGGACGACACCCGAGUAAUUGCCGCCGAUCGCACGGCCUCCGAGCCGGCGACACCUACACUGAGUUUCUGAUCUAUCAUGCUGACGACGGUUGGUGCUAUGCCAACCGCGGCGUUAACGGAUAACAGAGAAUCUGGGUUCGAUUCUGGAGAGGCCGCAUGAGAAACGGCGACCACUUCUAAGGAAGGCAGCAGGCACGCAAAUUACCCACUUCGGACACCGAGAGGUAGUGACGAACAAUACCGAUGCGGCGCACUCACGUGUCGCCGUAAUCGGAAUGAGUACACUUCAAAUCCUUUAACGAGGAUCCACUGGAGGGCAAGCCUGGU